UGGCAGUGUUUCUCCCCCAACUU
rnacentral:miRNA from 1 species